rnacentral:pre_miRNA from 1 species
ACAAUGGACCUGAUCCAAUGCCCAUUGAAGUCAAUGGGUGUCGAUCCACUGGCUUUAGUAAGCUUUGGAUCAAGUCCUAUGAGU